AAAGGCGGAACCGCGAAAAAGGGGACACCAAGGGCCAGCAUAUUAUGCUGGCUGUCCAUAUGUAUAAAUAACAUGUGUUAGCAAGGGCCGGGCAAGACCGGUGCCAGCCGCCGCGGUAACACCGGCGGCCCGAGUGGUAGCCGCUAUUAUUGGGUCUAAAGGGUCCGUAGCCGGUUUGAUCAGUCUUCCGGGAAAUCUGACAGCUUAACUGUUAGGCUUCCGGGAGAUACUGUCAGACUUGGGACCGGGAGAGGUAAGAGGUACUACAGGGGUAGGAGUGAAAUCUUAUAAUCCUUGUGGGACCACCAGUGGCGAAGGCGUCUUACCAGAACGGGUCCGACGGUGAGGGACGAAAGCUGGGGGCACGAACCGGAUUAGAUACCCGGGUAGUCCCAGCCGUAAACGAUGCUCGCUAGGUGUCUGGGAUGGUGCGACCGUUUCAGGUGCCGCAGGGAAGCCGUGAAGCGAGCCACCUGGGAAGUACGGCCGCAAGGCUGAAACUUAAAGGAAUUGGCGGGGG
rnacentral:rRNA from 1 species